GUGAUAGGCUGAGACUUGCGGGAGCCUGUCCUCAGGGUGGGGAGGGGCUGAGCCAUCACCCAGCACCAGGUUCCGGUGAGGACCAUAGCAACUCCUGUCCGCACUUUGCAUACUUACAUUAGUUUCCUGAAGAAUUCUCCCAUUGUGCCUUGCCCGACAUCUGAGAGCACCCCCAGGCCUAAAAGCUAGAGUCCCAGGGAGAAUAAAACAGCCUGAGCAAAAAGGCUCCAAGGCAGUUCAAAGACAGAGAGAGACUGAGGAUGAAGUUUUCAAGCCACAUCCAAGGGGAGGGCUUUUCAUCUGCCAGCCUUUGAAUCGGGAAUCAAGGCGGGCAAAGUUACUACCAGGUUAAAGUUUAAAUGGCACAGAAAGGGGAGACAGGAAGAUGAAACGACGGCCGUCUGGCCAGGGGAACAAAGCCGGAGCCCAGCCUGGCCACCUGGCCGCAGAGGCGCUGAGUGGUAGCAGUCCCAGCCAGGAGGGGCUGCGACGCUGCCAUUGUUCAGCUGAAGAACGAAAGUAAUUGAAAGGAAAGAAUCGCCCCGGAGCACUGCUGCUUGACUACCUACCAGCUGUGAUUUCUGGGGUCUUGAAGACACAAAUAGGCCCUGUCCUCCAGCCACUUGGGAGGACAAGUGUCAUCGCAAUCCCUAAGGGAGGGCAGAAGUCAUUCACGGCACUCUACGGAGGGCAGAAGUCAUUCACGGCACUCUACAGAAGCCAGAAGAUGUGCUUAUAGGCGGUGUUGGGUGUUGUCUUGAGCCCACAGUGGGCCUAAGCUGUACUGGGGAUGUUCGAUGAAGGCAGAGAGAGAAAUAAAAGAUCAUGCAGGACCUUCCAUGAGGAUAGGAAGACAAGAAAGGUCAACACACAGCACGGCCAACAAGCAAGACAGUCUAAGAAUGAACAUGGUGACUUAAAAGAUGACAUGGGGGCUGCAGGGAGGGAGAAACAAACAGGGAGGGAAGCACAAGCCUUGUGAGUGUCUUUUUGGAGAGACAGGACUGAGAUGGGUCUCCAAGAUAAAUUUAGAUUUGGAUCAGGACAGGAAAAGAGAGAAAGGCCCUGAUCUGAGGGUAAGGACGAGAUGCACAAAGAGCAGCACAUUCUGUAACAUGUCAGUAGUGAGUAGAGCUUGCUCUGAAAUGAUCCUGCAUAAUAUUAAAAUCACCCUUGAUAAAAGAUGUGCAGCCAGUCUGGAAACGCCAACAGUGAUUGAGCAUAUAGGUGAUGGGGUUUGCAUGUUUGUUAAUUUAUCUGUUGUUUUUCUUUUUUAUCUUUCCACUAUGAAUAUGUAGUACUUGUGCAUUUAAAAAAUGUUAUAAAUCUGCAAGUUAACAAA